AGUGAACGCUGGCGGCAGGCCUAAUACAUGCAAGUCGAACGGCAGCACAGCAGAGCUUGCUCUGUGGGUGGCGAGUGGCGGACGGGUGAGGAAUACGUGGGAAUCUGCCCAGUCGUGGGGGAUAACGUAGGGAAACUUACGCUAAUACCGCAUGCGCCCUUCGGGGAAAGCCGGGGACCUUCGGGCCUGGCGCGAUUGGAUGAGCCCACGUCGGAUUAGCUAGUUGGCGGGGUAAAGGCCCACCAAAGCGACGAUCCGUAGCUGGUCUGAGAGGAUGAUCAGCCACACUGGAACUGAGACACGGUCCAGACUCCUACGGGAGGCAGCAGUAGGGAAUAUUGGACAAUGGGCGCAAGCCUGAUCCAGCCAUGCCGCGUGAGUGAAGAUGGCCCUCGGGUUGUAAAGCUCUUUGUCCGGAAAGAAAGCGCCGGGUUAAUACCCUGGUGUCCUGACGGUACCGGAAGAAUAAGCACCGGCUAACUUCGUGCCAGCAGCCGCGGUAAU
rnacentral:rRNA from 1 species